rnacentral:rRNA from 1 species
CACGUAGGGGGCAAGCGUUGUCCGGAAUCAUUGGGCGUAAAGAGCGUGUAGGCGGCUCGGUAAGUCCGCUGUGAAAGUCCAGGGCUCAACCCUGGAAUGCCGGUGGAAACUGUCGAGCUAGAGUCCGGAAGAGGCGAGUGGAAUUCCUGGUGUAGCGGUGAAAUGCGCAGAUAUCAGGAGGAACACCAAUGGCGAAGGCAGCUCGCUGGGACGGUACUGACGCUGAGACGCGAAAGCGUGGGGAGCAAACAGG